GACGAACGCUGGCGGCGUGCUUAACACAUGCAAGUCGAACGAAGUGGCGAACGGGUGAGUAAUGCGUAAUCAACCUGCCCUUCAGAGGGGGACAACAGUUGGGAAAGACUGCUAAUACCGCAUACUGAAGGUGGGGAUUGCGGCUGAUUAGCUAGUUGGCGGGGUAACGGCCCACCAGGGCGGUGAUCAGUAGCCGGACUGAGAGGAUGAGCGGCCACAUUGGGAGGGAGACACGGCCCAGACGCCUACGGGUGGCAGCAGUGGUGAAUCUUCCGCAAUGGACGAAAGUCUGACGGAGCAACGCGGCGUGAGUGAUGACGGCCUUCGGGUUGUAGAGCUCUGUUAUUCGGGACGCGGUACCGGAAUAGAAAGCCACGGCUAACUACGUGCCAGCAGCCGCGGUAAUAC
rnacentral:rRNA from 1 species